rnacentral:tRNA from 1 species
GCGGAUAUGGCGGAAUUGGCAGACGCGCACGGUUCAGGUCCGUGUUGGGGCAACUCAAUGCAGGUUCAACUCCUGUUAUCCGCA